AAAUUGAAGAGUUUGAUCAUGGCUCAGAUUGAACGCUGGCGGCAGGCCUAACACAUGCAAGUCGAACGGUAACAGGAAGCAGCUUGCUGCUUUGCUGACGAGUGGCGGACGGGUGAGUAAUGUCUGGGAAACUGCCUGAUGGAGGGGGAUAACUACUGGAAACGGUGGCUAAUACCGCAUAACGUCGCAAGACCAAAGAGGGGGACCUUCGGGCCUCUUGCCAUCAGAUGUGCCCAGAUGGGAUUAGCUUGUUGGUGAGGUAACGGCUCACCAAGGCGACGAUCCCUAGCUGGUCUGAGAG
rnacentral:rRNA from 1 species